GACGAACGCUGGCGGCGUGCUUAACACAUGCAAGUCGAACGGAAAGGCCCUGCUUUUGUGGGGUGCUCGAGUGGCGAACGGGUGAGUAACACGUGAGUAACCUGCCCUUGACUUUGGGAUAACUUCAGGAAACUGGGGCUAAUACCGGAUAGGAGCUCCCGCUGCAUGGUGGGGGUUGGAAAGUUUCGGCGGUUGGGGAUGGACUCGCGGCUUAUCAGCUUGUUGGUGGGGUAGUGGCUUACCAAGGCUUUGACGGGUAGCCGGCCUGAGAGGGUGACCGGCCACAUUGGGACUGAGAUACGGCCCAGACUCCUACAGGAGGCAGCAGUGGGGAAUAUUGCACAAUGGGCGGAAGCCUGAUGCAGCAACGCCGCGUGCGGGAUGACGGCCUUCGGGUUGUAAACCGCUUUCGCCUGUGACGAAGCGUGAGUGACGGUAAUGGGUAAAGAAGCACCGGCUAACUACGUG
rnacentral:rRNA from 1 species